CCUACGGGAUGCAGCAGUGGGGAAUAUUGCACAAUGGGGGGAACUCUGAUGCAGCGACGCCGCGUGGGUGAGGAAGUACUUCGGUAUGUAAAGCCCUAUCAGUAGGGAAGAAAAUGACGGUACCUGACUAAGAAUCCCCGGCUAACUACGUGCCAGCAGCCGCGGUAAUACGGAGGAGGCAAGCGUUAUCCGGAUUUACUGGGUGUAAUGGGAGCGUAGACGGCGUGCCAAGUCUGAUGUGAAAGGCCGGGGCUCAACCCCGGGAGUGCAUUGGAAACUGGCAUGCUGGAGUGCCGGAGGGGCAGGCGGAAUUCGUGGUGUAGCGGUGAAAUGAGUAGAUAUUAGGAAGAACACCGGUGGCGAAGGCAGCUUACUGGACGAUAACUGACGUUGAGGCUCGAAAGCGUGGGGAGCAAACAGGAUUAGAUACCCGUGUAGUC
rnacentral:rRNA from 1 species